UACGUAGGGUCCGAGCGUUGUCCGGAAUUAUUGGGCGUAAAGGGCUCGUAGGCGGUUCGUCGCGUCGGGAGUGAAAACUCGGAGCUUAACUCCGAGCCUGCUUCCGAUACGGGCAGACUAGAGGUAGGCAGGGGAGAGCUGAACUCCUGGUGUAGCGGUGGAAUGCGCAGAUAUCAGGAAGAACACCGGUGGCGAAGGCGGCUCUCUGGGCCUUACCUGACGCUGAGGAGCGAAAGCGUGGGUAGCGAACAGG
rnacentral:rRNA from 1 species